UGAACCUGCGGAAGGAUUGUUA
rnacentral:rRNA from 1 species